rnacentral:tRNA from 1 species
UGACGUUGGUGCGGGCGAGCGUGCCGGUCUUCAGCAGGCCGAGCCGCACCAACGGGUGGGGCGCCCGGCGUUCGAUGGCGACGAACGCGGC